rnacentral:rRNA from 1 species
GAUGAACGCUGGCGGCGUGCCUAAUACAUGCAAGUCGAGCGAACAGAUGAGGAGCUUGCUCCUCUGACGUUAGCGGCGGACGGGUGAGUAACACGUGGAUAACCUACCUAUAAGACUGGGAUAACUUCGGGAAACCGGAGCUAAUACCGGAUAAUAUAUUGAACCGCAUGGUUCAAUAGUGAAAGACGGUUUUGCUGUCACUUAUAGAUGGAUCCGCGCCGCAUUCGGUAGUUGGUAAGGUAACGGCUUACAAAGGCAACGAUGCGUAGCCGACCCGAGAGGCUGCUCCGCCAGACCGGUACUCUAACGCGGUACUAACUCCUACUGGAGGCAGCAGUAUGGAGUCUUCCGCCAAGGGAGACAGUCUGAUCGAGCAACCACGCACGAGUGAUGAAGGUCCGCGAGUCGUAGAACUCUGUUAUUAGGCAAGAACAACUGUGUAAGUAACUUCACCCGUCUUGACAGUACCAGACAAGAAAGCCACGAAUAGCUUCAUG